UUUACCAAAACUUAACAUUUGGUACCAAUUUUGGUACCAAUUGUAUCACUUAUUCAAUAACAUCAAAUACAUAUACACUUACUAUAGCAUAGUAUCAAAUCACACUAAGUUAUAAAACAUACCUCAUAUGCAUAUUCAACUACUAUUUUACCUUUCAUCAUUCAACCACAAAUCAUUCCACACAUCAACAUUAUAAGGAAAAUUAUGCACAUACCAAAAUACCAAAACACAAAUCAAAUAAGUGGCUUAUCUCAACAAAACACCUAUAGGCCAACAUUUAUCCAAAAUAACCUACACAUGCCAUUAUAACCAAAAUUAAAACAUCCGAAAGUACUGAUAGAAUUGAUGGAUAGUAUGAUAUAACUCCGAUAAGUUUCUAACCCAAUCAAGCUUUCGAUAAUCUGUGAAAUAAAGGAUAAACAACUACGUAAGCAAUGAAUGCUUAGUAAGCUCGUACAAACUUUAAACAUAAUAUUCCAAUUCAAUAAUAAACUUUAUAUAUUAAAUAUAAAGCUAUUCCAAUGCCUCAAGAUUUAUCAACUACAUAACCAUCAACUCAUAAAUGAGUAAGUCUAUCAACAUCAUAUAUAUAUAUUCAUUUCUAACUUAAUAGGAUUUUAUAAACAUUAUACACCAUCAUUAACCUUUUCAUAAAACUACGAAUAACUUCCUUUACUUAUUUUCCAUUCUAUUUACUAAACAUAAACUUAAAUAAAAAUAUCAAUUAACUAAUUAAUAUAUUUAUUCAUAACAUAGGUAAGUUCAACCAUAACAUACGUAAUUUCUCAUAUAUAAGUGCAUUAUUCAACUCAUCAAUCCCUUUUUCAUCAUAUCACAUUUCAAUUAUGAACUUACCGUUUCAUUUGUAUAAUACUAGACAUAAGCAUAUACAUCAAUAAUAAUCUCAAGCUUGACAUAAGCCUAAUCACCAUCAUCAAUACACAAGUUAGUGCAUUUAUGUAUAUAACUCAUUUUCAUGUUUCAAAUCACUAUCCCAUUUUCAAUUCUCAUACAAUAUCAUCCAAUAUCAAUCAUAGUACCGUUUUAUUUAAUUACCCAUAUUAACAUGACUCAGACUUGGACGGAUACACGAAUCCAACCAACAGACCAAUUUGGCACCUAGUGUCUCAUCGGUUAAACCGAAGUAAAUUGGCCCCUAGUGCUUCAUUAACUCGAAAUCGAAGAAAUCCUUGAACUCUUCCUAUCCUAUAGCAUACUAUCUAUAUCCAAAUCAGCCCGAUACAGUUAAUAGAGUUUAAUUUCACUUCCAAAUACAACCAAUAUCCAAUUAUUAUAUUUGCACAUAUAUAUAUUCUUUUCAAUUGAAAUAAUCAACACAUUCAUAAUUUAUAUACCAAUUCAAUCCAUUUCAAUUAACUAUCAAAUGUUAACCUUUUUAAUUCAUACAUAUUAGCACAUCAUUUCAACAUCAUUUCGUACUAUAUUCAAAUUGCACAUGCUAACAUCUUUUAUUUGAUUAACAAUGUCUCAAUUCACACAAUUGCUAUUUAAAUAACUAUUCACAUAUCAAACCAUAAUUAUUUAUACAUUGGCAUUAGUCAUUCAAUAAUUAAAAAAUCUUUCAAACUCAUUAAAAAAUUUACCUUAUCAAGAUUUUCCAUAGAAGAACGACUUACGGAUAAGAGUACAUCAUCAACAGAAGCUCAUAGAGCUGGUCCACUAGAACACGUCAAUGGAAGCUUAUAAGAGUUGAACAGAAGCUCGUAAGAGCUGGUCCACCCAAUCACUCCAAAUAGAAAGUAAAACACGAGAAUUCGCAACAAAUGCUGAACCCCGAUUUACUUGAUUAAUAUGUCGAUAUCUCCCUCCAAUACCAUCAUACAACAAUUUAGGAAUGUACUCAAAUCCCGCGUUCCAUCAAACCGAAAUCCAAUUCAAUAUUAUAAUUCUAACAAUAAUUCAUUUCCAAAAAUAGAAUAAAUAAAUAAUACCAUUAAUCAACUUAUACAAAAUAUUAAAUUUUUACUGUACGAACUUACUUGGCUAAAUUGCAAAAAUACCAAGAUUCAGGGGCAUUUUGGUAAUUUUUUAUUUUCCUCGAUUUUCCACCCGAUCUUGAUCUAAAUUAAUAAUUUCAUUCAAUUUACUAAUUUAUACAAUAAAAAAAUUCAUUUCAUAUAAUUUGGUUUUUUGACAUUUUUACAAAAUUUCCCCUAAAUUUUUACUUUUAUUCAAUUUAGUCUCUAAGCCCAAAUCAUGCAAAUUAACUAUUUUUAAUGCAAACUCAUGCUAGCUGAAUAUUCAUGGCAUUCAAUACAUCCUAUGUUUUCAAUAAUUUUACAACAAAUCCUUGUAUUUUUACUAUUUCAACAAUUUAGUCCCCAAUCGGGAAAUUCAUCAAAAACACUUAAUAAAAUACUUUUAAAUAAGAAUUAAUAUCUCAAAUACAUCAUUUAAUAACUAAAAUCAUAUAUAUUCAUCAAUGGAAACUUCCAAAAUUUUUAGUUAAAUAAAAAACUAAGGUAAGAUUUAGUUGGACCUAAUUGUAACAAUCUCAAAAUUCUAAAAAUAUAAGAAACGGGUAAGAAUUGAACUCACAUAAAACAAAAUAUGAAGAACCAGCUUAAAACUUUCUCUUCUAUGGCAGUUUAGACCGAAACAAGAAGAAAUGUCUAGAAAAUUUUCAAUUUCUAAUUUGUUUCAUUUUAAUUUCAAUUAAAUUAUAAUUUUGCCAUUGAAUGGCUUUAUUUUAUUAUUUUCCUUCCUUAUGCCGUUUCACCCUUUUAAUUUUGGUAUAUUUGCUUCUUAAGUCCUUCCUCUUUUUAUUAAUCAAGUCAUUGAAUCUCUUAAAUAUUAUAAUUAGUAAAAUUUGCACCUUUUUUCAAUUUAGUCCUUUUUAAUUAAUUAAAUAUCGAAACGUUAAAAUUUUUUAACGAAAAUUUAAUACUACCUUAAUGACACUCCGUAAAUAUUUAUAAAAAUAUUCACAGUUCGGUUUACAGAAACGAAGUCCCGAUACCUCACUUUCUAAAACCACUUGACCUAAUAAAUCAUUAUAAAACACAAAUUACUAAUUCAAAAACCUUUUUAAAAUCAUAUUUGACUUGUAAAUAUUAAAUAAGAAUAUUUACAAACUUAAUUGCCGAAUUUGGUGGCCUCGAACCACUAUUUUCGACACCACUGAAAAUCGAGUUAUUACACAUGGUUGUAAAAAUUGGGGGUAAACCACCAAUAUUUUCAAAUAAAACAUUUGUAGAUAAACUACUAGUUGGUUUGUGGAUAAGCCACUACUGGUUUGCAGAUUAUUAAACUGCCACUCUUCCUCCAUGCAUAGCGUCUCACCUCAUGCAAUGCAAUAUGACAUGCUUUGUAAAAGAACAAUGCAAAAACAGUGGACAUGCUUUACAUGUAUUCAGUUCAAAACUACCAGUAGACAUGCUUAACAUGUAUUCAGUUCAACACUAGCAGUAGACAUGCUUAACAUGUACUCAAUAGGGUGGUAACAGUAUUAACACUAACAAUUUUUUAGUAUUACUUUGACAGUAGGCAUGUAAUAUUCACAUCUCAUACCAUAUAACAAUAACACUUUAGUCAUUAAAUUGCAGAUUUCAAAAUAACAAUAUCAGGGACUUAAUUGAGUGAAUAAAACUCUGAAAAUAAUUCAGGGGGAUAUACAAGGACUAAACAUAUCAUAAAUUUCUAAGCAAAAUUGUAAAGAAUGGGUCACACGGCCGUAUGGCCAGGCCAUGUGAGGGUCUCAUGGUCGUAUGGAAGGGUUACACAACUGUGUAGCCAGGCUGUGUAAUAGGUUUAAAUUAAUUUUACUUGCAAAAUUUCUGAUGUAUUGACCUAUCUGAUUUCUUUUUACUUGCAAUUUAAAUUAAUUUUUUAUUUUAAUUUUGUACAUAUUGUAUAUGUAUUAUCAUUAAUUUCAAACAAUACGCUUUAAUACUUAUUAUAUGUUAUUUUUAAGCGCAUAUAUAUAUUAAAUACAUAAUUUUCACAUGCAUAAAAAUGCAAUAGAAUUUCUAUUACAAUAUAGUGUGACAUAUUUUUUUAUCAUCAAAUUCUCUAAAGAUCAAAUCUCAAACUUUGAUCAUAUUGAAAUUCUUGAUACAAUCCUUAUUUGACUUUACUCUUGUACCACAUGAGUGAUGGGAUGUUAAAAAUCAUUAAAAAACCAUUAAAAGCUUCAAAUAAAUAUUAUGAUAAAUUAUUUGAUAGAUUCUUCUCACCAUAUUAUUCACGGUCCCAUUUUAAUUAUUUAGUGAUAUUUUAACAAUUUUUUUCAUAUCAUUCACACCUAAUUUUGUUAAUUUUUUUUACCCUGAAUCUGGAUCUGAAAUCAUGAACCUAAACCUUCAAACCCCAAACUCUAAGCCAAAAAUCUUAAACCUCGAAUUUCAAAUUCAACCCUUCAAUCUUGACCUCGUACCUCAAACCCUAAAUUUUAAACCCAAAUUUAGGGUUUGAGUUUGUGGUUCGAAAUUUUUUGUUCAAGAUUUAAGUUUGAGUUUAGAAUAAAAAAUUAUGUGUAAAUAAUAUGAAAAAAAUACUGAAAUAUCAUUAAAUAAUUAAAAAAUCAUAAAAAAUUAUAGUGGGAAGGGUCGGUAUAAUAAUUUCUCGAAUAUAUAAGAAUCAAAUAAAAGGAACAAUGACUUUCCUUAAGUUAAUAUCAAAUUUUUUCUUCUUUCUCGAACUUUUCAUGGAAACAAAGAAGAGCGUAAAGGGAACAGAGGAAAUUGAAGGGUAGAGAGAGAGAGAGAGAGAGAGAGAGAGAGAAUUAUCUGUUUUACCUGUUUGAAGCUCGAAAACUUUUGCAGAGGUGAAAGUAUAUUUCCAGGUUCUCUCCACUGAUUUUCGAUGAGAAACUUGAGAGGGGUGAUGAAGGAACGCAAGUAAAAUCGUCCAAAUUAGGGAAGCGAAUAAUCUGGGAGUAGAGUGAUGAGAUGAUGAAAACUACCCUCAAAACUCUGCUGCCUGCAAACACCUUUCGCUUCCCUGAUUUGGCAAAUUUUCCAAAUGUUCCAUUUCUGUUACCAUUUACCUCCUCGGCCUCUGCAACUUUAAACAACCAAAUGAAACAAACACUACCAGCCCCAAGGGUUAG
rnacentral:lncRNA from 1 species